AUGGUACUUAGAGAUAUUAGUGAUAUCCUAUAUUCAAUGGGGAAGGACAUCAGUUGCUUUGAUCUUCCAGAAAUGCUAGAUGGCACUGAGUUGGCUGGCUCUAAUUGUAGAGAAGUAAUAGAAGAGAUGUCUAUUAAUAUUGAUCCAGAGCAUGUGGACCUUUAUGCAACACUAAAUUGUGAGCAAAGACUUGCCUUUGAUGAGAUAAUGCAUCACGUCCUACAGAAGAAGAGUAAGGUAUUCUUUAUUGAUGGUCCAGGAGGUACAGGAAAGACGCAUCUCUAUAAAGCUUUACUCGCUAAAGUGCGUUCCAUGGGGCUAAUAGCAAUUGCAACUGCAACAUCUGGAAUUGCAGCGUCCAUCAUGCCGGGCGGUAGGACAACACAUUCGAGAUUUAAAAUACUAGUAAAUAUUCAUGAUGACAAUUUGUGCAGCUUCAGUAAAUAG
rnacentral:rRNA from 1 species